GACACCUAGACCCUUUUACGUGAUACGGAUAGCAGCUAAAAGUAAUAUUAAUAGUGUACUAGGCCUAUCAGUAUUAUUGCUAUAUUUGUAGCUGGUUAUUUCGUUAGGCUUUAAUUGUAUAAAUAACAUUAAUUUUUCUAUAUCACGAAAGGAACAAAAUGACAUAUUGGCGUCAGGCAGGACUAACGUAUCUUCGUUUUUCUUCAAUUGCUUCUAAACUAGUGAGAAAAGCAUUAAAACCCGAGUUCCAAGUAGCUGAUCAAAUGAAAGAGCAAGCUGUAUUAAAAAAAAUAGUUUGGAAAGAUGGUAAACCACUGGUAAAAUAGAGUAGGAUCAUUAUCAUUGGUCUGGAACACUGAAUUAGUCGGGAGGUCUCAGAAUUCACCAUGGUCAAAAAGUUUCUGUAAAUUUCAGUUACUCAGAAAUUAAUACUUUUUGUAGGUAAAAUUCUAUAGUCAAUAAAUGCAUUAAAACAUCUUG